GGAAGGGCGACAUCCCCGGUGGGAUGCCUGGUUUUCAAAACCAAUGAGACGCUGAUAAAGUGUUUGGUGGGUUCGACUCCUACCCCUUCCGCCA
rnacentral:tRNA from 2 species